GGCCUCGUGGUCGAGCGGUAAGGAAACUUGCCUCUCGUCCUGGAGUUCCGGGUUCGAUCCCCGGUCGAGGAGCUA